AGAAAGACAUAAGAAAAAAUGUAAGUGAUAAGAAGUGACAGAAAGGCUCAAAGAUUUAGAUGUCUGAAAAAAUCUGUGAACUAGACUGUAGACCAAAGAAAUGAAAGAGUUCUAAAAGAAUGGAAUAUGCCUGGACUCAAAAGAGCCGAACAAGUUAGGAACUCAGAAGUAUUGCAUAAAUUAGCCGCUCCUGUUUGUAGGCAUGAAAAUGAAUGUCAUAAACAGAAACAAUUAAACAAUAAAACUAAAGGAAUAGUGAAAAAAGGAGAUUGAAAUGCAGUCACAUGAAGUGGAUAUUUACAU